rnacentral:tRNA from 1 species
CAAGAUGUAGCUUAUAUAAAGCUAUUUAUUUACAUUAAAUUGAAAAUUAUUUUAUUCUUCUUGA